ensembl:snoRNA U3 Small nucleolar RNA U3
AAGAUUAUACUUUCAGGGAUCAUUUCUAUAGUUCGUUACUAGAGAAGUCUCUCUGAAUGUGUAGAGCACCGGAAACCACAAGGAGGUGCAGCGUUCUCUCCUGAGCAUGAAGCCAGCUCUUGGUGUUGCUUUACUGCAAUUGCCAGUUACAUCAAAAUUGCCAAUGAUGAUCAUUCUUCUCUCCCUUUGGGGGAGUAAGAAGGGAAGAACACAGUCUUA